rnacentral:rRNA from 1 species
CAGCAGCCGCGGGAAUACGUAGGGUGCAAGCGUUAAUCGGAAUUACUGGGCGUAAAGCGUGCGCAGGCGGUUAUAUAAGACAGAUGUGAAAUCCCCGGGCUCAACCUGGGAACUGCAUUUGUGACUGUAUAGCUAGAGUACGGCAGAGGGGGAUGGAAUUCCGCGUGUAGCAGUGAAAUGCGUAGAUAUGCGGAGGAACACCGAUGGCGAAGGCAAUCCCCUGGGCAUGUACUGACGCUCAUGCACGAAAGCGUGGGGAGCAAACAGGAUUAGAUACCCGCGUAGUCCCUGUCUCUUAUAC